CCGUUGCCUGCUGGGGACAAAUAAAGUGAACGUGAGUAUCCAGCCCACCGGCUGUUACAAUGCGGCCUUCACCGGCAAUCACAUCGGUGUUGCUACCAACAAUCAUGCCGGAUGUUACACCGGGCAUGAUAUCGGGGUUUCCGGCCUUUCCGAGGCCUACAAUCAGACCGUCUUUGACUCCGAUAUCGCACUUAUAGAUUCCGGUGUAGUCGACUACGACUGCAUUCGUAAUCACGAGGUCGAGACACUCCUCAUCACUGCGGCCGCUAGCUUGUCCCAUUCCUUCUCGG
rnacentral:sRNA from 1 species